UGGGUAGCGAACAGGAUUAGAUACCCUGGUAGUCCACGCCGUAAACGCUGAGUGCUAGGUGUUAGGUCCUUUCCGGGACUUAGUGCCGACGCUAACGCAUUAAGCACUCCGCCUGGGGAGUACGACCGCAAGGUUGAAACUCAAAGGAAUUGACGGGGGCCCGCACAAGCGGUGGAGCAUGUGGUUUAAUUCGAAGCAACGCGAAGAACCUUACCAGGUCUUGACAUCCCGAUGCCCGCUCUAGAGAUAGAGUUUUUCUUCGGAACAUCGGAGACAGGUGGUGCAUGGUUGUCGUCAGCUCGUGUCGUGAGAUGUUGGGUUAAGUCCCGCAACGAGCGCAACCCUUAUUGUUAGUUGCCAUCAUUAAGUUGGGCACUCUAGCGAGACUGCCGGUAAUAAACCGGAGGAAGGUGGGGAUGACGUCAAAUCAUCAUGCCCCUUAUGACCUGGGCUACACACGUGCUACAAUGGUUGGUACAACGAGUCGCAAGCCGGUGACGGCAAGCUAAUCUCUGAAAGCCAAUCUCAGUUCGGAUUGUAGGCUGCAACUCGCCUACAUGAAGUCGGAAUCGCUAGUAAUCGCGGAUCAGCACGCCGCGGUGAAUACGUUCCCGGGCCUUGUACACACCGCCCGUCACACCACGAGAGUUUGUAACACCCAAAGUCGGUGAGGUAACCAUUUAUGGGGCCAGCCGCCUAAGGUGGGAUGGAUGAUUGGGGUGAAGUCGUAACAAGGUAGCCGUAUCGGAAGGUGCGGCUGGAUCACCUCCUUUCU
rnacentral:rRNA from 1 species